rnacentral:rRNA from 1 species
CGAACUGGUGAGUAACACGUGGGCAACCUGCCCGGACGCAGGGGAUAACACUUGGAAACAGGUGCUAAUACCGUAUAACAACUGAAACCGCAUGGUUUCAGUUUGAAAGAUGGUUUCGGCUAUCACUUCUGGAUGGACCCGCGGCGUAUUAGCUAGUUGGUGGAGUAAUGGUUCACCAAGGCAAUGAUACGUAGCCGACCUGAGAGGGUAAUCGGCCACAUUGGGACUGAGACACGGCCCAAACUCCUACGGGAGGCAGCAGUAGGGAAUCUUCCACAAUGGACGAAAGUCUGAUGGAGCAACGCCGCGUGAGUGAAGAAGGGUUUCGGCUCGUAAAACUCUGUUGUUGAAGAAGAACACAUCUGAGAGUAACUGUUCAGGUGUUGACGGUAUUUAACCAGAAAGCCACGGCUAACUACGUGCCAGCAGCCGCGGUAAUACGUAGGUGGCAAGCGUUGUCCGGAUUUAUUGGGCGUAAAGCGAGCGCAGGCGGUUUCUUAAGUCUGAUGUGAAAGCCUUCGGCUUAACCGGAGAAGUGCAUCGGAAACUGGGAGACUUGAGUGCAGAAGAGGACAGUGGAACUCCAUGUGUAGCGGUGAAAUGCGUAGAUAUAUGGAAGAACACCAGUGGCGAAGGCGGCUGUCUGGUCUGUAACUGACGCUGAGGCUCGAAAGCAUGGGUAGCGAACAGGAUUAGAUACCCCUGGUAGUCC